AUAGACAGCCAUUAAAUUGAUGCUUUCAAUUUAUUGAGCAAUAAAUUCUAUUCCACUUAAUCCUCUCAUAGCCACAUAUCUUUCCGGCUAAGGGAAAUGGAAAUCUUUCUCUUGUUACAUGAAUCAAAUGUUUCAUUUCAUCCGGAAAAGCAACUUUUUCUCAAAAAUGUAGUAGUCAUUUGAUCGAAUAGCAUUUUGUUAGAUAGGAACAGAUUUGAUAAAUAUUGAUAACUCUUGGAUGGAGUAUUAAAAU